rnacentral:rRNA from 1 species
GCUUAGGUUUCUCGUCUUAGGAUCAUCUGGGGUCAUUCGUACUCGUCCGCGAGAGGUGAAAUUCUUGGACCGGACAAAGACGAUCAGCAGCGAAAGCAUCUGUCAGGGAUGUUUUCCGCGACAAAGGACGAAGGUCAGGGUAUCGAAGACGAUUAGAUACCGUCGUAGUCCUGACUGUAAACUAUGCCGACUUGGGUCUUGCAGAGUAAAUACUUUGUGAGACCCACACAGAAAUGAAAGUGUAUGGGUUCUGGGGGUAGUAUGGACACAAGUCUGAAACUUGAAGGAAUUGACGGAAGAGCACCAUAAGACGUGGAGCUUGCGGCUUAAUUUGACUCAACGCGGGAAAACUUACCAGGUCAAGACAUGGGCGUGAUUGACAGGCUAAUGACCUUUCUCGAUUCCUUGGAUGGUGGUGCAUGGUCGCACUUAGUUGGUGCAGUGAUUUGUCAGGUUUAUUCCGGUAACGAACGAGACCUCGGCCUUGUAAAUAGUUUUACUGCUUACAGGGACAAUGUCGGCUACGUCAAGGAAGUUCGAGGCAAUUGCAGAUCUGGAAUGCCCUUAGAUGUCCUGGGUCGCACGCGUGCUACAAUGACGCCACGAGCGAGUUCAUGUGUUGAAAAACAUGUGAAAUCAGC